AUGAAGAGUUUGAUCCUGGCUCAGGAUGAACGCUAGCUACGGGCUUAACACAUGCAAGUCGAGGGGCAUCAUGAACUAGCAAUAGUUUGAUGGCGACCGGCGCACGGGUGAGUAACGCGUAUCCAACCUGUCCCUAACUCGGGUAUAGGCUUUCGAAAGAAAGAUUAAUCCCCGAUAGUACAUAUUUCUCGCAUGAUUGAUAUGUUAAAGGUUUUUCCGGUUAUGGAGGGGGAUGCGUUCCAUUAGAUAGACGGUAAGGUAACGGCUUACCGUGUCAUCGAUGGAUAGGGGUUCUGCGAGGAAUGUCCCCCACAUUGGAACUGAGACACGGUCCAAACUCCUACGGGAGGCAGCAGUGAGGAAUAUUGGUCAAUGGGCGCAAGCCUGAACCGGCCACGUAGCGUGAAGGACGACUGCCUUAUGGGUUGUAAACUUCUUUUUCAGGGGAAUAAAUGUAUCCGCGUGCCGGAUAUUUGCAUGUACCCUGCGAAUCAGCAUCGGCUAACUCCGUGCCAGCAGCCGCGGUAAUACGGAGGAUGCAGGCGUUAUCCGGAUUUAUUGGGCUUAAAGGGUGCGUAGGCGGGACGUCAGGUCAGUCGUGAAAACUCAGGGCUUAACCUUGAGCGUGCGAUUGAAACCGUCGUUCUUGAGUAUGGACAAGGUGGGCGGAAUUCGUGGUGUAGCGGUGAAAUGCUUAGAUAUCACGAGGAACUCCGAUUGCGUAGGCAGCUCACUGGGGCAUAACUGACGCUGAGGCACGAAAGUGCGGUUAUCAAACAGGAUUAGAUACCCUGGUAGUCCGCACCGUAAACGAUGAAUACCCGCCGUCUGCGAUACACAGCAGGCGGUCUCGCGAAAGCAUUGAGUAUUCCGCCUGGGGAGUACGCCGGCAACGGUGAAACUCAAAGGAAUUGACGGGGGCCCGCACAAGCGGAGGAACAUGUGGUUUAAUUCGAUGAUACGCGCGGAACCUUACCCGGGCUUGAAUUGUGCUUGAAGGAUGUUGAAAGACAUCUGUCGCAAGACAAGUACAAAGGUGCUGCAUGGUUGUCGUCAGCUCGUGCCGUGAGGUGUCGGCUUAAGUGCCAUAACGAGCGCAACCCCUUCUGCCGGUUGCCAUCGCGUGAUGGCGGGCACUCCGGCGGUACUGCCGUCGUAAGAUGCGAGGAAGGUGGGGAUGACGUCAAAUCAGCACGGCCCUUACGUCCGGGGCUACACACGUGUUACAAUGGGCGGUACAGCGGGCAGCGCGGCGGCGACGCUUAGCAAAUCUCGAAAACCGCUCCCAGUUCGGAUCGAAGUCUGCAACUCGACUUCGUGAAGCCGGAUUCGCUAGUAAUCGCACAUCAGCCACGGCGCGGUGAAUACGUUCCCGGGCCUUGUACACACCGCCCGUCAAGCCAUGGGAGUCUGGGGUACCUGAAGGACGCGUCUGUCACAGGAGCGUACUAGGGUAAAUCCGGCGACCGGGGCUAAGUCGUAACAAGGUAGCCGUACCGGAAGGUGCGGCUGGAACACCUCCUUU
rnacentral:rRNA from 1 species